AACGAACGCUGGCGGCAUGCCUAACACAUGCAAGUCGAACGAGACCUUCGGGUCUAGUGGCGCACGGGUGCGUAACGCGUGGGAACCUGCCUUUAGGUUCGGAAUAACUCAGAGAAAUUUGAGCUAAUACCGGAUAAUGUCUUCGGACCAAAGAUUUAUCGCCUUUAGAUGGGCCCGCGUUGGAUUAGCUAGUUGGUGGGGUAAAGGCCUACCAAGGCGACGAUCCAUAGCUGGUCUGAGAGGAUGAUCAGCCACACUGGGACUGAGACACGGCCCAGACUCCUACGGGAGGCAGCAGUGGGGAAUAUUGGACAAUGGGCGAAAGCCUGAUCCAGCAAUGCCGCGUGAGUGAUGAAGGCCCUAGGGUUGUAAAGGCUCUUUCACCGGUGAAGAUAAUGACGGUAACCGGAGAAGAAGCCCCGGCUAACUUCGUGCCAGCAGCCGCGGU
rnacentral:rRNA from 1 species